rnacentral:lncRNA from 1 species
AAUUGGCCUGUCACCUACUGAAGUUACGUAUAAUACUUUGCUUCAUGGCUACUGUAGUGCUAGUAGGAUAGACGAUGCAUAUUGUCUUUUUCGAGAAAUGUUGAGGAAGGGAGUUACGCCUGGAGUUGUGACUUAUAAUACUAUACUGCAUGGUCUGUUUCAAACCAAGAGAUUUUCUGAAGCAAAGGAACUCUAUCUCAAUAUGAUCAAUAGUGGAACAAAGUGUGACAUUUACACAUACAACAUAAUUCUAAAUGGUCUUUGCAAAAGUAAUUGUGUUGAUGAAGCAUUCAAAAUGUUUCAGAGCCUGUGUUCUAAGGGUCUUCAACUUAACAUUAUUACUUUCACCAUCAUGAUUGGUGCGUUGCUCAAAGGUGGCAGAAAGGAAGAUGCCAUGGACUUGUUCGCUGCUAUCCCUGCUAAUGGUUUGGUUCCAAAUGUUGUGACCUACCGCUUAGUUGCAGAAAAUCUCAUAGAAGAAGGAUCGCUAGAAGAGUUUGACAGUCUGUUUUCAGCAAUGGAAAAGAAUGGUACUGCACCAAACUCACAAAUGUUAAAUGCUCUAGUUAGGAGGCUGUUGCAUAGAGGUGACAUAAGCAGGGCUGGGGCUUACCUCUCCAAACUUGAUGAGAGGAAUUUCUCAGUUGAGGCUUCCACUACUUCAUUGCUUAUAUCAAUUUUCACCAGUGAUGAAUAUCAGCACCAUGCCAAGUCUCUGCCUGAAAAGUACCAUUUCCUAAAUGAAGCCAAUAGUUCAGCGUUGAUAAAAAAGUGAAUAUUGUUUUCAACUAUGUUGAUACAUCUUCAUGUGGCAUCUUAUUUACCAACCCUGCUCUGCUGCCUCCUUUGUUUGAAGAAACACUCUGGAGAAAUGUUGUCCUGUUAAUGCGCUUUGGUAUCAGGCUCACCAGCUCAAGUUAUCUUGUGCCAUCCCAGUUUUAUAAGUAUGUUCAGAGGGGGGAACAAUUAACAAAUUAACAGGUGUAGCAACAUUCGCUCCUUAUUGUUGUAUAUUUGUGUAACUGAUCCUGAUGUCCUGGGGAUAAAAUCAAUGAUCUCGACCUUUUUUUCCUGAUAAAAUUCAUAUAUUUUAAACCCUGUAUUAUCCCCUCACAGUUUGCAGUGGUUACCGUUUGUAAUUCCAUGGAUUAAGAGAAUAAGAACAGGCUCUAACAAUCACGCUUCGGUUAACAUUAAGUUUGAUGUUUUUGAAGGCUUUUGUUUCUCUAUUCACCAUUUCUGGACGCAAGGUUAUAAAAAUGAAUAUUGCUUCUACAGGCCACUUUAAUGUAACAUGAUCUGCCAACUCAACGCCUACUGUUCAGUGGUUACCGUUUGUAAUUCCAUGGAUUAAUAGAAUAAGAACAAGCUCUAACAAUCACGCUUCGGUUAACAUUAAGUUUGAUGUUUUUGAAGGCUUUUGUUUCUCUAUUCACCAUUUCUGGACGCAAGGUUAUAAAAAUGAAUAUUGCUUCUACAGGCCACUUUAAUGUAACAUGAUCUGCCAACUCAACGCCUACUGUACAGGCCCGGCAUGCAUGUUCCUUCUGUUAUCAUUCCUUUGUGACGUGGAGUUCCACCUGUGCUUUCGAGGUAUGUUCUAAACUCAAAAGUGUUUUUGUGAUCUUUCAUGUUAGAUGUUCCCUAUUUAUGCAAUGUGGGCAUUGUCUAUUAUUAGCGUGCUGAUCAUUUGUUUGUGUAACAGGUCUUGUGAAGUUUCUCUUGUUGAUAUUGAACACGUAACCAUACAACAUUGCAUAAUUUCAGUAGAGGGAAAGUAUGUCAAUAUUUGUCCAGAAGAGGCAGAUUCUUACAAUCUCAUGCAGAGACUUGUUCUGAAUUCUGUUUGAUAGUUAUUAUUUUCCCCUUAGUACUGUGUUGGUUCGUGACUCUAGUAGGAUUUUGCUCAAUGCUGCUCAUGUGUUAUAUAUGUUUCCUUGAAACAAAAAUCAAGAGCCUUGAAUGCUUUUUUUUAAAAAAGUAAGGAUUGUGCUUAUACUUGGCUCACAUUCGUUAGUUCGUUACAGAGAAGAAAUGGUUUCUUCAGUGUGCCAUAACAUCCAGUUGUUCAUUAGGUGAUAAAAGUAGCAAUGGAGAAUUUUGGAAGUGUUUCAGCUGUCAAAAGUAUUGUCUCUGUUAAAACACGUGUAAUUUAUUUAGUAUUUUUAGCUUUUAAAUUUGAUAACAAACAAACAGGGAGUAUUUGUAUGAAGAGAGAAUGUAUGGUCCAAUAGUAUGGUGAAAUGAGAUGGCUACCUUUCCAUUUUGUUGUUUUUCCAUCGAAGGCCUUAAGAGCAGCCCUUUGAGAUGUUGCAGUGAUAUUUCCAAUUUUUUGACCAUUUUCCCCUUGGUUUUUGGCAGACCACAGCCUGAAGCAGCGUGUGUAUGUGACCACACCUCCGCCACAGCAAAGUGAUCGUUUUUCCAAUGGCAGGGGCAGAGGCAGCGAUGGUGGUGCAUCCAGCACCGGUGGAAAGUGACAGAGGAGAGAUGGCCGUGGUAGUAACACUUAUGGCAACAACAGUCACAGGGGCCUUCGAUGGAAUAUCAGCACCAUGCAACAACAGUCACAGGGCCUAACUUAAACUGACGUGAAUGGAAAAGUGAAGCAUUCUGAGUUGCUUUCUCUUCCUGCUCAUGAAGCCAAAGUGUAUAUUGGGGUCGAGCCAAUCGAUGAAUCUCCUUAAGAUCUCAAAAAAAAAAUUGAGUCGGUUGGAGAAGCCCUGGAUGUGAGUACUGCCUAAUUUCUCUGGUUUAGUUUGCAAUUGUUUUAUUCUGCAAUUCAUGGUCACUUUUUUAUGCAGGUGGAAAGGGGGAAACAAGCUGUAUGCAUUUGUUAAUUUCAGAAUUAAAAAGUUGCCUUUAGACAUUAAAGGCCAUCAAGUUGAGCAAUAAAGACCUAAAGGUUUGAUUCGCUUAGAUUCAGAGUUGAUCUUUGUUUAUUCCCUACCAUUGAUUUAUCACCGUUUUUUAUAUUGAUUUUUUUACAAAAAAAGAUGGAUGCAUAAAUGAUAAAACAAGCAUUUGAUAGCACAUGUCUUCCCGAGAGUUGGAAACUAAGUUCAAAAUUGUGUUUCUAUAUACUUUUUGUUUGUAGUUUUGUGAAUCACUGUUAGACAUAGCAAUGUCAUGGAUGUAUGAUAGUAGGAUACGCUCAGAUCCGCUUGCUAUUCUAAAAAGGGUUUGCAGCAGUUGCAUUGUUGAUCAAUGAACUUAGUUGAUUGUAGAAUACAACCUUGUGAUUAUUUUGGGACAUAACAAAGCACAAGGCUAUCUGAUUACACUUACAUCCUCUUGCUAAUUUUGAAAAGCUUGCAGCGGUUGCCCUGCUGAGUUGAAACUACAGAACCUUGUGUUUACUUGUAUUCCAGAAACCAGAACUGUGGAUGGUGGUGGAUUACGUUUCCAUAGUUUGUUGAGAUACCUUUGUAAAGUAGUUUUGGGCCCAAAUAAUCCAAGCCUACACCAACUUGCAUGUAAGCUAAAUGCUUUUGCCAUAUUAUCCAAACCUAGUUUUGCAACCCAGAGAACGUGAAUACACUCUAGUAGUUGCUGGUUACUUGUUACACUUGAUUAACUCAUAUAUAUCUUGUGACCCUGUUAUUUUUUGUUGUUGCAGGAAUAGUCUCUUACUCUCAGGCUAAGAACAGGCGAUUUGUCGGUAAUAUACCCCAUGAUUAGACGCAUGAUGUUUUCAAAAAUGCAGUGUUGAGCUGUCGCGGUGAGAAUAAAAUCUUUUAUUCAUAUUUUCCUUUGGUCUUCCUGCACGGCAACACCUGUGACUUUGCCUCUGCCACAGCAAGAUGGUCUUCAUUACUUUUUUUUUUUGUGUGUGAAGGAGGUGGCUGUCGUACUCAUGGCAGUGGUGGUGCGGCAAUGGCAGUGGUGGAUCCAGCACCAGUGGAAAGCAGCAGAGGGGCAACAACGGUCGAAGGGAUUAUUGUUCCAUAUUGAUGCUAGCAUUUGUUGCUGUUGGCAUUCAGUAGUUAGACCUUCAGAGCCUAGCACUAAAAGAGUAUUGCUGCUGUGUUACCAUGCUGGGUGUAUAUCUUAGAUAGUACUGGAAACUGUACUCUAGUAUUUUUUUUCUUUGUGUGGUGUGUCUCGGUAACAAACUGCUGUUGUUAGAAUGACAAUACUGCAAGUGGCAGAUGCGGUCUGGGAUGAUGUGGUAUUCUAUUUGUGUGCCAAGGUUGAAUAGAUGUGAUAGUCGCUGCUGAAGAAGCAGUGUACUCUUUUGCCGUGUUCAGUUUGAGGAACUGAAUGUGGUGGGUAAAACGAGAUGUGCCAACCAAUCACUACCUCUAGAUUAAUCUUGAAUACUACAGUUCCAAUGUUUAUUCUGUGUUGACAAAAAAAAAAUGAAUUCAGUGCUGAUCGUCUUUAUGUGACAUGUCAAUUUGCCGGAGUGAUUAUUCUGUCAUGCGCUCUAAUGUUUUGGCUUUGCUCUGUGGAAUGCUUUGAUGAAAUUAUAUUGAGAAAUGUUCUCCUGUCAAGUUUAUCACAGGUAAAAUAAUCUUUCAUGCAGUCCUAGUUACAUCUAACUGUAUUAUCGCCAGGGUGCUAUUAAACCACAAAAAAGGACGUCUUACUCUCCCGGUCACCCUGCUUCAAUCAAUCCUGUCCUGCUCCUGAUUCAAUUCAAGUCGCCGCUUCGAAGAAUUAGGAUGUUCUAAUUGACUAAUUCUUAAAAAAAAACGAAAUUUCAGAUUAUUUUUUUCAGGCUCUGCAGUAUAGAGAACAUCAGUAUGCGAUGAUGGAGAAAAGAGGAAAAAAAAAAUCAACAAAGAGGCGGGUCAAUUGGGCCUGAUAGCGCCCAGCAGCAGCACGCCAGCAUCCCCCAUCUGCACCCGUCGCUCCACCUCCACCUGCCCAACCACGCCGCCGCCGCCGCCGCCGCCCACCAGCUCCUACCCUCACACAACCCAGGCCACGGCACACGCGGCUCCGCCCAGCUCACGAGAGUGCUCUCCGGAGGCGGACGCAGCUGCGAACAGCCUCUGCAUCUCCAGCGACACACACUCUCCGCACAGGCCCCUGGCACUCCAGUACUCCACGACCGGCGCCACCCGCGCGCCGCCGACCACACACACCGCCGCUGCCGCCUCCCUGCAACCUCCUACCCUCGCAGGGCCAGCCCCUCCACGGCGCAGCAGUUGGCAGUUCCGCCCAGCCUACGCGAGCGGCUCUGCAUCACCGAUCCGGAGCGCGAAGCGGCGCCGUCCACGCCUCUCCACGCUGGGCCGGUAGACGCGCGCACGCCCCGCCGGCAUGUCGCGCCGCGUGAGCGCCGUCCGCGACCGGUGCUUGGAGCUGGAGCGCGUCAUCGCCGACCGCGCCCGCUCGGGAAGCCUCGGCCUCGGCGACGCACUCAAGCUGUUCGACGAAUUGCUUCCGCACGCCAGGCCCGCCUCGGUCGUCGCCUUCAACCACCUCCUCGCCGCUGUGUCUCGUUCCUCAGGCCGGCGCUCUACUACCUCAGAGUCAGAGACCGUCGUCUCCCUCUUCAACCGGAUGGUACGUGACUGUUACAUCAAGGUGGCUCCCAACCGUUGUACCUACAGCAUUCUCAUCGGCUGCUUCUGCCGCAUGGGCCAUCUGGAGCAUGGCUUUGCCGCCUUUGGCCUCAUCCUUAAGACAGGAUGGAGGAUGGAUCACAUAGUCAUCAAUCAACUGCUCAAUGGUCUCUGUGAUGGAAAGAGGGUGGGUGAGGCCAUGGACGUUUUGCUCCAACGAAUGCCUGAGCUUGGCUGCAUGCCGGAUACAGUUUCAUACAACAUACUUCUCAAGGGUUUGUGCAAUGAAAAGAGAGCUGAGGAGGCACUUGAGCUGCUCCACAUGAUGGCUGAUGAUCAAGUUUGGAGCUGCCCACCAAAUGUUGUGUCCUACAGCACCGUCAUCAACGGUUUCUUUACCGAGGGUCAAGUGGACAAACCUUACAACCUAUUUCUUGAAAUGAUGGAUCGAGGGAUUCCACCUGAUGUUGUGACAUACACCACAGUAAUUGAUGGCCUGUGCAAAGCUCAAUUGUUUGAUAGGGCUGAGGCUGUCUUUCAGCAGAUGAUUGAUAAUGGCGUUAAGCCAAACAUUGACACAUAUAAUUGUCUGAUCCAUGGAUACCUCUCUAUUGGGAAGUGGAAAGAGGUGGUACGAAUGCUCGAAGAAAUGUCUGCAGGCGGUCCUAAACCAAAUUGUUGUACUUAUGGUUCGCUGCUGAACUACCUAUGCAAGAAUGGAAGAUGCAGAGAAGCUAGAUUUUUUUUUGAUUCUAUGAUUGGGAAGGGGAUAAAACCUUCCGUAACUACCUAUGGCAUUAUGCUUCAUGGAUAUGCUACCAAAGGUGCACUUUCUGAAAUGCAUGAUCUCCUAAAUUUGAUGGUAGCAAAUGGUAUUUCACCUAACCAUCACAUCUUCAACAUAUUCUUCAGUGCAUAUGCUAAAUGUGGUAUAAUAGAUAAGGCAAUGGAUAUUUUUAACAAAAUGAGGCAGCAAGGGUUGAGUCCUGAUGCAGUAAGCUACGGAGCACUAAUAGAUGCACUAUGCAAGUUAGGCAGGGUGGAUGACGCGGAGGUCAAAUUCAACCAGAUGAUCAAUGAAGGAGUGACUCCUGACAUUGUGGUUUUUAGCUCUCUUGUUUAUGGACUGUGCACCGUUGACAAAUGGGAGAAGGUUGAGGAAUUAUUCUUUGAAAUGUUGAAUGUAGGAAUUCACCCUAACAUCGUAUUCUUCAACACAAUAUUGUGUAACUUAUGCAAAGAAGGACGGGUUAUGGAAGGCCAGAGACUCGUUGACUCGAUUGAAUGCAUGGGUGUGAGGCCUGAUGUUAUUUCAUAUAAUACAUUAAUAGAUGGCCACUGUUUAGCCGGUACAAUUGAUGAAGCAUCGAAGUUACUUGAGGGUAUGGUAUCAGUUGGCUUGAAACCUGACAGUUUUUCUUAUAAUACAUUGCUUCAUGGCUACUGUAAAGCUGGAAGGAUAGACAGUGCAUAUAGCCAUUUUCGAAAAAUGUUGAGUAACGGUAUUACACCUGGAGUUGUGACUUAUAAUACUAUACUGCAUGGUCUGUUUCAAACCAAGAGAUUUUCUGAAGCAAAGGAACUCUAUCUCAAUAUGAUCAAUAGUGGAACAAAGUGGGACAUUUACACAUAC